UGUUUCUAAAUUAUUAACCCGGAAAUGAUUCUGUCAAAUGUGUGAAAGAAGCUAGUUCGUUGGCAAGCUAAAAACGAACAACAAGAUUUGGAGGGAAAAUAAGCGACAGGGUAACGUUAAUAGAAGGCUCUCUGUACCACCAUGGGUACAUCCAAACAGAUCGGGAACCACAACGGUACCAGGAAGAAGAGUAUUAGCAAGACAUGGAAGACAAAGCGAUAUAUGACCAAAUCCAUGCAGACAUGAAGACCUUCAACAAAAACCAAGUUGCUCAAAAAAAGAAGAUUAUAUUUUGUUGAUCUGAAAGAGCACUUUAAAACCAACGUGCACAAGAAAAAUGGAUUAAGCUGUUGAAGGAGGAACCUUGCACUCAGGCAGAAGCAGAGAGAGCUGCAGGUAUGGGUUCUUACAUACCCCACAAAACUGUAGAGGUGGAAGAGAAGGUGGACUGCCUUUCUUUGACCAUUACUUUCACCCAGGUUCCAGAACACCUUUUUCGUGGCUCUGAGCUACGGACAUUGCUUUGCAUUACAUAUGUAUAGAUGUUUUUAUACAUUCAAUGUAAAUGUCACAUGUGGAGCAAACAAUUAAAAGGAAAUGUGGUGAUUGGCUGGAUGCCAGUUUCUAUUUUAGCCAGAUUUAUAAUUUUGUCAUGCUUGCAGCAGGCUGGCAUCUCUAUCUAAUGGCAAAUUAUGAAAUAUUGUUAGAAUCGGAUUUCAAUGCCUGUGCAACCAAACAACAUUGAAUAUAGUGCUGAAUUCACAAUUAAAUAUAUAGGAUAGAUAGAGCUACUCAUAUUACUUGAGAUUGUAACUUGAGCUGAAAUGCAAUUGUAAAGCACAGUUUGUGCUCCUACAAUUCACUGUUGAUCUUAAAUGCAAUUAAAGUACCAGUCAGCAUCG